UAUAACAAAGAAUGUAAAUUCUUAAUGUACGCGUAAUUAAUGUAAUUAUUUGGUAGAAUUUUAGGGUGCUUCCCUAAUUUGCAUACCAUGCCGGUUGGCGAUUAUGCUUAAUUGAGUAUGAGUAUAUUUGUUAGGACCCGAGAGGCUUUGAACUAAGCGUGAUGAGAUUGAAGUCAGACGAAAGUCUGAUGGAAGAUCGAAUUGAUACUGACGUGCAAAUCGUUCAUUUCAAUCACGUUUAGGGGCGAAAGACUAAUCGAAAAGCCUAUUAGCUGGUUAUUUUCGAAAGAUCUCUCAGGAUCGCUGGAGUUGAUUAAUAUAGUUUUACGAGGUAGAGAUAAUGAUUAGAGGAAUCAGGGAAAUCGUUUUCCUUGACCUAUUCUCAAACUCCCAAUACGUAAUAAGGGAUUAAUAUCUUAACUGUAUUUUUCCCACCUAUAAAUAAAAUAACUCCAAGUGGGCCAUUUUUGGUAAGCAGAACUGGCGAUGAGGGAUGCUCCUAACGCUUGGAUAAGGUGCCUAAAUAUUCGCUCAUGAGAUCCCAUAAAAGGUGUUGGUUCAUAAUGACAGUAGGACGGUGGUCAUGGAAGUCGAAAUCCGCUAAGGAGUGGUAACAACUCACCUACCGAAUGA
rfam:Plasmodium chabaudi chabaudi, WGS project CAAJ01000000 data, contig: PC_PH1156